rfam:Sugiyamaella lignohabitans strain CBS 10342 chromosome A, complete sequence.
GCCCCCGUGGCGCAAUGGUAGCGCACUGGUUUCCGGUACCAGAGGUUGCGAGUUCGAGUCUUGCCGGGGGCU